rnacentral:rRNA from 1 species
CCUACGGGUGGCAGCAGUGAGGAAUAUUGGUCAAUGGGCGUAAGCCUGAACCAGCCAAGUCGCGUGAGGGAUGAAGGUUCUAUGGAUCGUAAACCUCUUUUAUAAGGGAAUAAAGUGCGGGACUUGUCCCGUUUUGUAUGUACCUUAUGAAUAAGGAUCGGCUAACUCCGUGCCAGCAGCACCGGUAAUCCGGUGGAUCCGGGCGUUAACUGGAUUUUUUGGGUUUAAAGGGGGCGUAGGCGGCCUUUUAAUCCAGCGGGGAAAGUCUGUGGCGCAACCAUAGAAUCGCCGUUGAAACUGGGGGGCUUGAGGAUGUUUGAGGCAGGCGGAAUGCGUGGUGUAGCGGUGAAAUGCUGAGAUAUCACGCAGAACCCCGAUUGCGAAGGCAGCCUGCCAAGCCAUGACUGACGCUGAUGCACGAAAGCGUGGGGAUCGAACAGGAUUAGAUACCCCAGUAGUC